rnacentral:rRNA from 1 species
UCCGGUUGAUCCUGCCGGACCCCACUGCUAUCGGGGUGAGGCUAAGCCAUGCAAGUCGAAGGUCCCCAGCUUCCGGGGGCCUGGCAGACGGCUCAGUAACACGUGGCCAACCUACCCUAGGGAGGUAGAUAACCCCUGGGAAACUGGGGUUAAACUACCAUAGGGGGCGGGAUCUGGAAAGACCUGCCUCUGGAAGUGGUGUACAGGGAUGCCUGUACACCAGCCCUAGGAUGGGGCUGCGGCCCAUCAUGGUUGUUGGUGGGGUAACGGCCCACCAAGCCUAUAACGGGUACGGGCCCUGAGAGGGGGAGCCCGGAGAUGGACUCUGAGACAAGAGUCCAGGCCCUACGGGGCGCAGCAGGCGCGAAAACUCCCCAAUGCCCGAAAGGGUGAGGGGGUCACCUCGAGUGCCACCCUCGUGGUGGCUUUUUGCGGGGUCUAAAAAGCCCCGCGAAUAAGGGGAGGGCAAGACGGGUGUCAGCCGCCGCGGUAAUACCCGCUCCCCGAGUGGUGGGGACUAUUACUGGGCUUAAAGCACCCGUAGCCGGCCGGAUGUGUCUCCCGUUAAAUCCACGGGCCUAACCCGUGGGCUGCGGGAGAUACUAUCCGGCUUGGGGGUGGGAGAGGGCGGCGGUAUUCCCGGGGUAGGGGUAAAAUCCACUGAUCCCGGGAGGACCACCGGUGGCGAAGGCGGCCGCCCAGAACACGCCCGACGGUGAGGGGUGAAAGCUGGGGGAGCAAACGGGAUUAGAUACCCCGGUAGUCCCAGCUGUAAACGAUGCGGGCUAGGUGUCGGGUGGGCUACGGGCUCACCCGGUGCCGAAGGGAAACCAUUAAGCCCGCCGCCUGGGGAGUACGGCCGCAAGGCUGAAACUUAAAGGAAUUGGCGGGGGAGCACCACAAGGGGUGGACGUUGCGGCUUAAUUGGAGUCAACGCCGGG